UUUAGCUAUCAAUUAAGAUGGCGACCGGCGCACGGGUGAGUAACACGUAUCCAACCUGCCGAUAACUCGGGGAUAGCCUUUCGAAAGAAAGAUUAAUAUCCGAUAGUAUAUUAAAACCGCAUGGUUUUACUAUUAAAGAAUUUCGGUUAUCGAUGGGGAUGCGUUCCAUUAGUUUGUUGGCGGGGUAACGGCCCACCAAGACUACGAUGGAUAGGGGUUCUGAGGGGAAGGUCCCCCACAUUGGAACUGAGACACGGUCCAA
rnacentral:rRNA from 1 species